AGUCUGCGAUUGAUUGCUGUAGUUCUCUCCCAGAGCACAGUUGAGUUGAUUGCUUUUUUGAGAAAGCCUCUAAGGGAUUUGCUGUCUGUGUGCCUAUUGGGCUGUCUGUGCCCCUGGCUGGAGCAGAAACUGAGGAAGGAAGAUCCUACGGCUCAUCAAGUAAAACGGUCUUUUGGGGAAGAAGCAUUCUUAGAAAUGCUGCACCAAGAGUUGGAAUUGAGAAUUCAGAAAACAUGAUAGAGAAGGAACAGGAAGAAACCAUUUGGACAUCCAAAAAUAAAAGGCCAGAGACAGAAUCUCACUUUGUUGCCCAGGCUGGUGGUCUCUAACUCCUGGACUUAAGCAAUCCUCCCGCCUCAGCCUCCCAAAGUGCUGGGAUCACAGGUAUGAGCCACCAUGCCCAGCUAUGAUCUCCUAUGCUGUUUUUGUCAUCUUGUUAUAUAAAUUUUGACUGUUCAAUUUUUAUAUUUGCUCAUUUUCGAGUCCCUUAAAAAAUUUUAAAGGGGGAAAUAUACUAUCUGUAAAUAAAUAUUUAAUGGAUAUACUAUCUGUAAAUAAAUAUUUAAUGGAAAAUUUGAAGACAGCAAUUCAUAAUGGAAAGAAAAGGGUUUUGGCUAUAAUACAGGUCUGAGUUUAUAUUCUUAUCCCUCUGUAGGCUUUGUGAGUUUGGGCAUAUUGCUAAUCCUGAUUAAUACUUAAUAUUCUCUUUUGGAAAAUGGAGGUAAGUGGUCAGAUAAACACAUAAACUUACUGUGUGGAUUAAAGAUUGUUUUCUCUCCCUAUGAACAAGGCCCAUUAUUGUAGCAUGGAAAAGAAAAGACUGAAGGGAAAUACAAAUGUUGUCAUGAAAUACAGGAAGGGCUAUCAUGUUUCAAAGGGCCAGCAGAGCUAGGACUAGUAGAUCAAUGUAAUAAAAGGUUGGAUUUUGAUUCCAAAAGAAAAAGCAAUUCUCUCACUAUUAGAUCAUUCUAACAAUGAGAUGAGAUUCUUGUCACUGCAAGUGAUGAGCACCAUCUGGAAGAGCAGUCUUGAGGUAUCUGACACAGAGUUUGGGCACUGGAUGGAACAUUGUCCCAAGUGCUACAUGAAGCUCUGCCCAACUCGGAGUGUUCUUACUAUACCACCUUUAACCUCCUUAAAUCUGUUCUUACCAACCAAAUUGAUUACAUCAGACCAUGGUCUAACCAGGCAUACCAAAACAUCUUAAAAGGUAAGUUCAUUGUUUGAGGGUCAUUUUUCAGUUUUUUAGAGUAAUCUAUAUCUAAUAUCCUGCUGACAUUGAGGAACUCAUGAAGAACUUAUCCAAAUAAAAGGAACCUAGAGUUAAAGGCAGAUAUUUCUGAUUGAACUCAAUAUGUCUGUAAAUAAACUCAUUAGUGAUAUACCUUUCACACUUUUUUUUAAUCCUGCAACUUUACUGAAUUUGGGUUUAUCAGUUAUAAUAGUUUUUUUGAUGGAAUCUUCAGGGAUUUCUAUAUGUAAGAUUAUAUUAUCAGCAAACAGAUACAAUUCACUUCUUCCUUUCACAUUUGGAUGUUUUAUUUUUUUCUCUUGCCUAAUUGCUCUGACUAGGACUUCUGGUACUAUGUUGAAUAGAAGUGGUAAGAGUGGCAUCCUUAUCUUGUUCCUGAUCUUAGAGGAAAAGCCUUCAGUUUUUCACCAUUGAGUAUGAUGUUAGC
rnacentral:lncRNA from 1 species